rnacentral:rRNA from 1 species
AGUGAACGCUGGCGGUAGGCCUAACACAUGCAAGUCGAACGGCAGCACAGUAAGAGCUUGCUCUUACGGGUGGCGAGUGGCGGACGGGUGAGGAAUACAUCGGAAUCUACUUUUUCGUGGGGGAUAACGUAGGGAAACUUACGCUAAUACCGCAUACGACCUACGGGUGAAAGCAGGGGAUCUUCGGACCUUGCGCGAUUGAAUGAGCCGAUGUCGGAUUAGCUAGUUGGCGGGGUAAAGGCCCACCAAGGCGACGAUCCGUAGCUGGUCUGAGAGGAUGAUCAGCCACACUGGAACUGAGACACGGUCCAGGCUCCUACUGGAGGCAGCAGUGGGGAAUAUUGGACAAUGGGCGCAAGCCUGAUCCAGCCAUACCGCGUGUGUGAAGAAGGCCUUCGGGUUGUAAAGCCCUUUUGUUGGGAAAGAAAAGCAGCAGGUUAAUACCCCGCUGUUCUGACGGUACCCAAAGAAUAAGCACCGGCUAACUUCGUG